ACGGCGAGUGAAGCGGCAACAGCUCAAAUUUGAAAUCUGGCGUCUUUGGCGUCCGAGUUGUAAUUUGCAGAGGGCGCUUUGGCAUUGGCAGCGGUCCAAGUUCCUUGGAACAGGACGUCACAGAGGGUGAGAAUCCCGUACGUGGUCGCUAGCCUUUACCGUGUAAAGCCCCUUCNACGAGUCGAGUUGUUUGGGAAUGCAGCUCUAAAUGGGAGGUAAAUUUCUUCUAAAGCUAAAUACUGGCCAGAGACCGAUAGCGCACAAGUAGAGUGAUCGAAAGAUGAAAAGCACUUUGGAAAGAGAGUUAAAAAGCACGUGAAAUUGUUGAAAGGGAAGCGCUUGCAGCCAGACUUGCCUGUAGUUGCUCAUCCGGGUUUUUACCCGGUGCACUCUUCUAUAGGCAGGCCAGCAUCAGUUUGGGCGGUUGGAUAAAGGUCUCUGUCACGUACCUCCUCUCGGGGAGAACUUAUAGGGGAGACGUAAUGCAACCAGCCUGGACUGAGGUCCGCGCAUCUGCUAGGAUGCUGGCGUAAUGGCUGUAAGCGGC
rnacentral:rRNA from 1 species